ACGUACACUCCUGCGGGAGGCAGCAGUGGGGAAUAUUGCACAAUGGGCGCAAGCCUGAUGCAGCCAUGCCGCGUGUAUGAAGAAGGCCUUCGGGUUGUAAAGUACUUUCAGCGGGGAGGAAGGUGUUGAGGUUAAUAACCUCAGCAAUUGACGUUACCCGCAGAAGAAGCACCGGCUAACUCCGUGCCAGCAGCCGCGGUAAUACGGAGGGUGCAAGCGUUAAUCGGAAUUACUGGGCGUAAAGCGCACGCAGGCGGUCUGUCAAGUCGGAUAUGAAAUCCCCGGGCUCAACCUGGGAACUGCAUUCGAAACUGGCAGGCUAGAGUCUUGUAGAGGGGGGUAGAAUUCCAGGUGUAGCGGUGAAAUGCGUAGAGAUCUGGAGGAAUACCGGUGGCGAAGGCGGCCCCCUGGACAAAGACUGACGCUCAGGUGCGAAAGCGUGGGGAGCAAACAGGAUUAGAUACCCUAGUAGUCCCAUG
rnacentral:rRNA from 1 species